ACUGCGCUUGGUAGCGCUUGCCUGUAACCCAAGUGGGGGUGUUAAAGUGGGUCGGACUGUUAGUUGGUUCGGUUCGGUUUGGCUUGAUUGUGCUAAAACUGGCUUGCCCGUUCCAAGUUGAGAGUUGGUCCAUGUGACUUGAGCGAAGGCUCGGGCUACUUGGUCCCUAGACUAAGGGACACUGCGUUAGGCUGGCUUCACAGAGCUGCGAGAACCCUUGGCUCUUGACAGUGGAAGGAUAACAGGCUUGGGGCUCAUCAGGUCAAUGUAUAGUUUGAUGUAUAGUUUCUCUGUAUCAUCGACCGU
rnacentral:SRP_RNA from 1 species